ACUCCUACGGGGAGGCAGCAGUGGGGAAUAUUGCACAAUGGGCGCAAGCCUGAUGCAGCCAUGCCGCGUGUAUGAAGAAGGCCUUCGGGUUGUAAAGUACUUUUCAGCAGUGAGGAAGGUGGGUAUGUUAAUAGCAUAUUCAUUUGACGUUAGCUGCAGAAGAAGCACCGGCUAACUCCGUGCCAGCAGCCGCGGUAAUACGGAGGGUGCGAGCGUUAAUCGGAAUUACUGGGCGUAAAGCGCAUGCAGGUGGUUUGUUAAGUCAGAUGUGAAAGCCCGGGGCUCAACCUCGGAAUUGCAUUUGAAACUGGCAAACUAGAGUACUGUAGAGGGGGGUAGAAUUUCAGGUGUAGCGGUGAAAUGCGUAGAGAUCUGAAGGAAUACCGGUGGCGAAGGCGGCCCCCUGGACAGAUACUGACACUCAGAUGCGAAAGCGUGGGGAGCAAACAGGAUUAGAUACCCUGUAGGCUCUGC
rnacentral:rRNA from 1 species